UACAGAGGGUGCGAGCGUUGUCCGGAAUCACUGGGCGUAAAGGGCGCGUAGGCGGCUUGAUAAGCGUGCGGUGAAAGCCCGGGGCUCAACCCCGGGUCGGCCGUGCGAACUGUCGAGCUGGAGCACUGUAGAGGCAGGUGGAAUUCCGGGUGUAGCGGUGGAAUGCGUAGAGAUCCGGAAGAACACCGAUGGCGAAGGCAGCCCCCUGGGCUAACACUGACGCUCAUGCACGAAAGCGUGGGGAGCAAACAGG
rnacentral:rRNA from 1 species